rnacentral:snRNA from 1 species
UGUGGAAAAUUUGGGUUUGGACU